AGCUCCAGUAGCGUAUAUUUAUAUUGCUGCGUUUAAAAAGCUCGUCGUUGGAUGCAAGACACGGGGCGGCGGUCGGCCAGCACUGGUCGCACCUGCCGGCACCCCGAGCUCAGCGUGCCGGUCGUGGCCCCGUUCGCACUUAACCGUGUGGCGGCGGCGCGCCGGCAAGUUCACCUUGAACAAACUGGACCGCUCAGAGGGAGCGUCAGGCCUGAACAACUAAGCAUGGUAUGAUGGAAGAGGGGCUCGUUCUUAUUUUGUCGGUUUUAGAGAUUUUGCGAGCCAAUGGUUAAGAGGGACUGCCGGGGGCAUUCGUAUUGCAGGGGGAGAGGUGAAAUUCAAGGAUCCUUGCAAGACGUCCUACUGCGAAAGCAUUUGCCAAGAAUGUUUUCAUUAAUCA
rnacentral:rRNA from 1 species